rnacentral:rRNA from 1 species
UACAGAGGUCUCAAGCGUUGUUCGGAUUCAUUGGGCGUAAAGGGUGCGUAGGCGGCGCGGUAAGUCGGGUGUGAAAUCUUGGAGCUUAACUCCGAAACUGCAUUCGAUACUGCCGUGCUUGAGGACUGGAGAGGAGACUGGAAUUUACGGUGUAGCGGUGAAAUGCGUAGAGAUGUGGAGGAACACCAGUGGCGAAGGCGACUCUCUGGGCUGUAACUGACGCUGAGGCGCGAAAGCGUGGGGAGCAAACAGG